CAGCCACAGCCACUAGAUCCAAGCCACAUCUGUGACCUACACCACACCUCAUGGCAAUGCCAGAUCCUUAACUCGCUGAGCGAGGCCAGGGAUGGAACCCACAUCCUCAUGGAUACUAUUUGGGUUCAUUACUGCUGAGCCACGAUGGGAACUCCCAGGUAUUUGGUUUUUUUCCAUGAGUUUCUGGUUGGUUCUAAUGACCUAAGUGGGCGUGGCUAAUCUCAGCAAGGCUAGUUGGUAUGUCUACUCUCUGCUGGGAGGCUGGUGGUUCCAGGAUGGCUUCUGCUGGGAUGACUUGCCUCCAAUCCAUGUGUCUCUUAGAUGCCUCUUCAGGGUAGCUGGGCUUGUUCUCUCAGCAGUGGCAGGGAUUGAAAAGAGGAGUGGACAGGCACAUGUGCUACUCAUGCUUGUGCUUGUGUCCCAUUUGCUGCUGUCCCUCCAGUGAAAGUAGAUCACAUGGCCAAGUGCAGAGCCAGUGUGGGCACUCAGAGCAACCUAGCCACCACCACUGACCUGCCCUCUGUGGCCCUAGGACUGUCAGCUAUAGGGCCUGGGUUUUAUUGAGUUGACCUGCCCUCUGUGGCACUAGGACUGUCAGCUGUAUGGCCUGGGUUUCGUUGAGUUGAUAUGUCCUCUAUGUCACUAAGACUAUUAGCUGAGGGCUUGGGCUUUGUUGAGUUGGGGGUGCGGAGUAUGGAGCAGUGGUUAAAGUGAAAAACUUGAGAAAACCAAGGAGAGACUGAGAACUGCUAAAGAAGACUGCCCUGAAGGAAAGACAAUAUAAGCUCGAGUGUCUUGGACCACAGCAGUUUCUCUUCUCUGCCCCAGGCCAAGACUGUCAUGAAAUCCCCAGUGACUUGACUGAGCAAAGGUCUUAGGAGGACAUACCCUGGAUCAUGUGCCAGUGUUGCACUAACUGGCUUGGAGUCUUCAAGACCAACUUCCUCAUCUUUAAAAGGGGAAAGAAAAUGCGCAGUGCUGGGCACUGAGUCAAUCUCAGCCUUUGUCAUGAUGGUCAUUAUCUGGGUAAAUGAGGUAACUGGAAGAGUGCAGGGAAUGAAAAAUGAGUGGGGCCAAGAGAUCCAUGAGCAAGGACAGGCAUUGGUAGAGCUGAUUUAUUGACAGUGGGAAAGGGCUUGAUGAAUAUUUAAGCCAACAGUUUCCUGAGAUGAAGAAACACCACUCUCAGGAAGGAUAGGAUUUGCAUACAUCUGGCUGAUAACAGUCUGAAAGAAAAAGCUGAUUGGUGGCUCUUAGAUGGAAGCUGUCCCUUCCCUUUUCCAGGCUUCUAAGGUCAUGUCACCUGGCAGAGGCUUGAUGACAACAGACCUCAGGGGUUGGGUCCUUAGGCUACAGAGAACUAAGGGGUAAUGAUGUCCCAGACACACUUUUUUCUUUAAUAGGGAAAAGCUUAUGUUGGGAGACUGAACAGCCAAGGCAAGAAGAUACACAGCUUCUUCAACAGGAUAGGAAUUCCCAUCGUGGCUCAGCAGUAACGAACCCAAUUAGUGUCCAUGAGGACAUGGGUUUGAUCCCUGACUUUGCUCGGUGGGUUAAGGAUCUAGAGUUGCUGUGAGCUGUGGUGAGGGUUGCAGACAUGGCUUGGAUCCUGUGUUGCUAUGGUUGUGACACAGGCUGGCAGCUGCAGCUCCGAUUAGACCCCUAGCCUGGGAACUUCCAUAUGCCGCAAGUGCAACCCUAAAAAGCAAAAACGAAAACAAAAAACUGGAUAGUCCAUGAGCCAAAUAACAAGUGACACAAAGACCUGAGUGCAGAGAUGUCAUAUAUAGGUGGGUACAUUGUGCCUGCCUAAGGCUGAGGGAGCCAUUCAAAUCACAAACUGUGUAAACAUUGCUCUCUGAGGUUGUGCAGUCCACAAACUGCUCCACAGUACCUGGCCGCCCUGCCAGGUGGGAAAUUGUAAAUUAUUAAGCUAAUGUGGAAAUUCUCCAAUUUUCUUUGGUAUUAGCCCUUGGAAACACUGAAAACUUCCUCUAAACCAGGCUUACUACAACUUGAUGCAAAAUUUGGAAUGGGUGUUUCUACCAAACAAUUUUUCUGAGAAUCUGGGCAGAGAUGAAACUAUAUAUGAUUUCCCAUGCUCUUUUAGAUGACAACAGACCUCCAUUCCAUGGUUGACUUCUCAUCACAGUGGAGUGAAAAUGACACACUGUGUCUUCCCAGCUAUAACACCGCUACAGCAGAUGUGAAUGCUAUAAUCUAACCUUCCCGCAUCUUGAGUUCAAGUCAAUCUAAAGUGCUUCUGCCUCUUCUUCACUUGAACUGCUGAAGUCUAAGAUAAAUGAAGGGUGAUUCUGAUUUAAACAACAAGGGAACUAUCCUAGGGAGUCCUGAUGUGACUUGCCUAAGGCUUCAUAGCCCUUCAGCAGCAUAACUUAUGGGUUUAGAUUCCGAAUACCUGGGAUUCUUCCCAGUGCUCUUUCCAGUGGAAUUUGAAACUAUUAAUAUAUUACUUGGCCCAUGGUGACUAUACAAAGCUUUGUAUAUCCAUUUGUUGUUUAAAUGGAUGAUGAAUAGAGUUGAUACUUGGGAAAAAUACAUCCCAAGGUCCUUUGUGAAUAUUCAAAUGUUCAAAUACUACUAAAGCUAUGAUUCUCAAACUAGGUUAGAAGGAUAGGGAUUCAAUGCCCCCUUGAAAUUUUUGUUGGAAUCAUGAAGAACUGUGUAUAGUUUAAGAAAAUAUAUUGAACAUGUCAAUAGUAUUUUUAAUAUAAGCCGCCGAAUAUAAAGGUUAACAAAAUCUCAAUGGGCGGGAAUAGAGAGAAAAUAAGCUGAGAGAGCCUUUCAAAAGAUAUAAUUAAAAAAAAAAAAAAAACAGCUUGAGUAACUGUCUCCUAAAACAUGUAAUUUUUACCAUAAGAGACAGUAAAUUAUAACUCAAAAUUUUAAGUGACCUGUUCAGAUGUUUGAAUAUUGCAUAAAUAUAGGAUUAAAGUCACAGAUGCGAACUUUUGUUGAGUAAGAUAUUUCACUCUUUAAUUUAUAUGAAAUUUUGGCUUUCUAACUAAGAAUGGUCUCCCGUAUAUAUCUGCAUUAUUUUCACUUCCAUAGAUGUACCAGCAGCCAAAUUGCUUGAGGGAAGAGCAAUUUUAACGGGGAAGAAAAGCUAAUUUUUUUUUUUUGAAUUGCAGUAAAAUUUGGAUGUCUUUUUUGUUCCAAACAGGAAAUUUGAAUGACACAGGCUGGAAUGAUAUCAGAAUUUACUGGUUUAAGGAUCUAUGGAGUCCAGGGGGAGUGCUGGCUUGAUCCAGAUGUCCACACCAUCAUGAGGGCUGUGGCACUUUCUUUCCGCAAUUCUUUCGGUUCUGUCUUCCCCUGUCUGUUGUCCUUAUUUUCAGGAUGGCUUCUCUCUUGACAGCAAGAAGACUUCAAGCAGCUCUGAAGGCUUCCGUCUACUUCCUUGUUGAUAUCCAGAAGUGAGACAGGGAGAGAAUUGAUCUUGAUCUUAACACUUCACUCUGACUUCGGUAGAGUCCAAUGAUCCCAAUUCUCCACUUCUCUCUGAAACUGUGCCCUUUGGAAUGUGAGCUUGCAGUUCCUGCCAUCAUGAAGUGGAGUCUAUUUCUCUACCCCUUGAAUGUAGACCGACCUCAUGACUUGCUUUAGCCGACAGCAUAUGGUAGAAGUGGCAAGGGGCCAGUUCUGAGCAUGAGCCUUAAGAGAAUGGAACAUUUUCACUUUCACUUGGAAUCCUGUGUCCACCAUAAGAACAAGGCUUGGCUACCCUGAUGGGCAAUGAGAGACCACAUGGAGCAAAGAUAAGCCAUCUCAGUAGAGCCCAAACUUGACCAAGCUACAGCCAAACAAUGCCACCCCCAACAUAUAAGAGUCCAGCUAGGAGCAGCCAAGCCACUUCCCGACCUGCAGCUGACCACAGACACAUAGGUAAGAACUGCUCAGGUCAGAAGAACCACACAGCUGACUUGCAGUUAUAACAAAUACUCACCACUUAAAACAACUGAGUUUUGGGGUGGUUUGUUACAUAGCUAAAGGAUACACAGAUCCAAGGUUGCCUUGAUUGUAUUGUUUUAAGUUACUUGGUGCCCCCUAAACCAAUCACUAUUGGUUGAAUCUAUUCCAAUAAAGACCCACCUUGAUUUGUUAUGGGGAAGUAGAAGCAGAAACAUCACAGAUUAUUAGGAAGAGGAUAGGAGAGAGCUGGGCAGUAGGGAUGGACAGGCAACAACUUAUCUACUGCCAUUACUUCAAAAGAGGUCUCAGGUGGGUGACAAUGGAAAGUGAUGAGGCUGAUGAGGUAGUCCCCCUGGGAUGAGAGAUUCUUAGGCAAAAUCCAGCCUCACAGCACAUUCAGAUUAAUUGGCCUACCUCAACAAAAUUACAAGUUACCAACAGCUCUGAAAUUUCCAGUUUCCAGAAGACUCUUGAAACAAAAUGUCAAAUCGGCCAACGUCAAUGUUUUAAGUACUAAUGGUGUCUCAUACUCCCUCUAAAAAAAUAGUAAUAGACCAAAUUUCAUGUCUUUUAUACUCAGAAAGCCUUCAAAGAAGAGAGUUGACUGUAGGAAGUAGUGCACCUGCUCCCAUGAGUAUCCCCUGCAGACUUUCAAGGCCUGUAACUCACACAUCAUUUUCUCUAGGUACCAGGUAGCUGGGGAUUCCUCUUGCAACACUCAUCAGUGAAAUGAAACCACCUUGUAACAACUCUGUUUGGAGUAUAAACAACAUCAAAUUUUGCUUAAAUAUGCUUUUAAAAUUUUCCAUGCUAGAUUUUUUUUUUUGAAAUGCUACUGGAAAGGGAUUAAAAUCAUGCUUAACAUUAAAAAAAAAAAAAAAAAAAGGAAAAGGAAAAGGAAGCCCAUGCAAUGUAAGCAUGCUAACCUGAAAGGUAUAAAUGUUGCAAAAUAAUCACCCGGGACAAAAUCAGCAGCAGCAGUAGGACUCCAAAGGGCAAAGAGCCACCACCGUUAAGAGCAGGGGAAUAGUAUUUCCUUCAACUGGGGGAAGAGAUCAUCAUGGGAUUUCUGCCAUUACAUACCCCCGGCACCUCAUUUUCUCUCGAAUCUCCCUUCUGCUUUUGGAAAAAAAGAGCUAAGGCAUGUGUGUACUGGGAAAAGUGAGCUACAGUCCUGAGAAAAUAAUUUAAUGGCAUUAAAAAAAAAUGAAAGGAUUCAGGCUUUUACUACAAGACAGCCUAUCAAAGCUUAGGGGAAGCCUCUGGCAAUAGAUGAAAGAAGGUGACUCCAAGGAAUAUGGGUGUGAAACUGGCCAAAUAGAUUGGAGGGGAUUUAACAUUAAAAAUUCUGUGGACAUUUAAGUACUUGCUCAUUAAAACUUAAGGACAAUUGGAUUCUAUUAAACAGCUGUAGAAAACAGAGAAGUGUGAAUAAGGGGUUUGCCAUUGUUGACCAAAAAAAAAAAAAAUAUGCACAACCUAAAAGUUGAGAGUUAAGUUUUAUUUGGGGAAAAAUGAGGACUAUACCCUGGAAGGCAGGAUUUCAGAGAGCUCUGAAAUACUGCUCCAAAGAGAUAAGGGAGAAGGUCAUUAUACAUGUGAUUUUGGUGAGGGAGGGACAUGUAACCAAGCACACAUAUUACAAAAGUUAGCUGCUAGCUCCUGAAGGUGUCAACAUGAAAGAUUUUAGUGCUUUUCUAGAUAUGAAGAAAUCCAAGAAUUGGGCUCAUAAGGUCUCCUCCUGAAAUAACUGACUGAAGACCUAUUCUGCCAGUUUUUCCAGAGCACAGAGUGCCUGACUCCUGAUCUCCACCCUGAGCUCCUUUCAGGGAGCACUGAGGGUCAGGAGCUACAGCGGCUCAUGAUUCUAUCCAUGUAGAGGCAGAUGGCAGUGUCCUGUAGUACCUGAAUGUCCUCUCCCUUUACCAACAUGCAGGUCCCAGGGAGUGCUACUCCAACCACUGUCCCGAACUCAGGGUACUCAUUGGCUACCAUAGCCAAAUGGCAAGAUCUCGGUCAAUUCCUUUUCUUUUAUCUCUCUAGAGGUCAUGGGCAUUAGAAAAGGAUGGUCUUAUUUGUUUCAUAUUUAAUGCUUUCUAGCCUCUGUUUCUGCCCAUUGCAGUUGCCUCUCUUACCUCACUGGUCCAUGUGGCUCUUUCUUUCUCUCUGGCUCUCCUUUCUCCCUUCCAUCCUUCCUCUCUUCCUCUUUCUUUUUUUUUUUCACCUUUUUUAUGGCCUCACAGGUGGCAUAUGGAAGUUCCUGGGCUCGGAGUCAAAUUCUACAACACAGCCAUAGCAAAAUCUGUUCAGAGCUGCAUUGGAGAUAAAAUGGUUAGGUCCUUAACCUUCUGAGCCACAAGCAGAAAUCCCCAUAUGGCUGUUUCUGCAUGGACCUGU
rnacentral:lncRNA from 1 species